rnacentral:rRNA from 1 species
CUUUGUACUUGGCCGGCGAGCGGCGGACGGGUGAGUAAUGUCUGGGAAACUGCCUGAUGGAGGGGGAUAACUACUGGAAACGGUAGCUAAUACCGCAUAACGUCGCAAGACCAAAGAGGGGGACCUUCGGGCCUCUUGCCAUCAGAUGUGCCCAGAUGGGAUUAGCUAGUAGGUGGGGUAACGGCUCACCUAGGCGACGAUCCCUAGCUGGUCUGAGAGGAUGACCAGCCACACUGGAACUGAGACACGGUCCAGACUCCUACGGGAGGCAGCAGUGGGGAAUAUUGCACAAUGGGCGCAAGCCUGAUGCAGCCAUGCCGCGUGUAUGAAGAAGGCCUUCGGGUUGUAAAGUACUUUCAGCGGGGAGGAAGGCGUUGAGGUUAAUAACCUCAGCGAUUGACGUUACCCGCAGAAGAAGCACCGGCUAACUCCGUGCCAGCAGCCGCGGUAAUACGGAGGGUGCAAGCGUUAAUCGGAAUUACUGGGCGUAAAGCGCACGCAGGCGGUCUGUCAAGUCGGAUGUGAAAUCCCCGGGCUCAACCUGGGAACUGCAUUCGAAACUGGCAGGCUAGAGUCUUGUAGAGGGGGGUAGAAUUCCAGGUGUAGCGGUGAAAUGCGUAGAGAUCUGGAGGAAUACCGGUGGCGAAGGCGGCCCCCUGGACAAAGACUGACGCUCAGGUGCGAAAGCGUGGGGAGCAAACAGGAUUAGAUACCCUGGUAGUCCACGCCGUAAACGAUGUCGACUUGGAGGUUGUGCCCUUGAGGCGUGGCUUCCGGAGCUAACGCGUUAAGUCGACCGCCUGGGGAGUACGGCCGCAAGGUUAAAACUCAAAUGAAUUGACGGGGGCCCGCACAAGCGGUGGAGCAUGUGGUUUAAUUCGAUGCAACGCGAAGAACCUUACCUACUCUUGACAUCCAGAGAACUUUCCAGAGAUGGAUUGGUGCCUUCGGGAACUCUGAGACAGGUGCUGCAUGGCUGUCGUCAGCUCGUGUUGUGAAAUGUUGGGUUAAGUCCCGCAACGAGCGCAACCCUUAUCCUUUGUUGCCAGCGGUCCGGCCGGGAACUCAAAGGAGACUGCCAGUGAUAAACUGGAGGAAGGUGGGGAUGACGUCAAGUCAUCAUGGCCCUUACGAGUAGGGCUACACACGUGCUACAAUGGCGCAUACAAAGAGAAGCGACCUCGCGAGAGCAAGCGGACCUCAUAAAGUGCGUCGUAGUCCGGAUUGGAGUCUGCAACUCGACUCCAUGAAGUCGGAAUCGCUAGUAAUCGUAGAUCAGAAUGCUACGGUGAAUACGUUCCCGGGCCUUGUACACACCGCCCGUCACACCAUGGGAGUGGGUUGCAAAAGAAGUAGGUAGCUUAACCUUCGGGAGGGCGCUUACCACUUUGUGAUUCAUGACUGGGGUGAAGUCGUAACAAGGUAACCGUAGGGGAACCUGCGGC